rnacentral:rRNA from 1 species
GGGACAACCCGCCGAAAGGCGGGCUAAACCCGCGUACAUGCCACCGGGGCAUCCCGGAGGCAGGAAAGGCUUCGGCCGGACAGGGAUGGGCAUGCGGCGCAUUAGGCAGUAGGCGGGGUAACGGCCCACCUAACCGACGAUGCGUAGGGGUUCUGAGAGGAAGGUCCCCCACACUGGUACUGAGACACGGACCAGACUCCUACGGGAGGCAGCAGUGAGGAAUAUUGGUCAAUGGUCGGGAGACUGAACCAGCCAAGCCGCGUGAGGGAGGAAGGUACAGAGUAUCGUAAACCUCUUCUGUCAGGGAACAAAGACUGGGACGCGUCCCCGGAUGAGUGUACCUGAAGAAAAAGCAUCGGCUAACUCCGUGCCAGCAGCUGCGGUAAUACGGAGGAUGCGAGCGUUAUCCGGAUUUAUUGGGUUUAAAGGGUGCGCAGGCGGUCUGUUAAGUCAGCGGUCAAAGCCCGGGGCUCAACCCCGGCCCGCCGUUGAAACUGGCAGUCUCGAGUUGGAGAGAAGUAUGCGGAAUGCGCGGUGUAGCGGUGAAAUGCAUAGAUAUCGCGCAGAACUCCGAUUGCGAAGGCAGCAUGCCGGCUCCACACUGACGCUGAGGCACGAAAGCGUGGGUAUCGAACAGGAUUAGAUACCCUGGUAGUCCACGCAGUAAAC